CCUACGGGAGGCAGCAGUGAGGAAUAUUGGUCAAUGGGCGCGAGCCUGAACCAGCCAAGUCGCGUGAGGGAUGACUGCCCUACGGGUUGUAAACCUCUUUUAUCAAGGAAUAAAGUGAGGCACGUGUGCCUUUUUGUGUGUACUUUAUGAAUAAGGAUCGGCUAACUCCGUGCCAGCAGCCGCGGUAAUACGGAGGAUCCGAGCGUUAUCCGGAUUUAUUGGGUUUAAAGGGAGCGUAGGUGGGUUGUUAAGUCAGUUGUGAAAGUUUGCGGCUCAACCGUAAUAUUGCAAUUGAAACUGGCAGUCUUGAGUACAGGUGAGGUAGGCGGAAUGCGUGGUGUAGCGGUGAAAUGCUUAGAUAUCACGAAGAACUCCGAUUGCGAAGGCAGCGUACUAAACUGCCACUGACAUUGAUGCACGAAAGUGUGGGUAUCAAACAGGAUUAGAUACCCCAGUAGUC
rnacentral:rRNA from 1 species